rnacentral:lncRNA from 1 species
AUCUCAGAUUGCUAUAACUGAAGGUAUAUUUGAACUUCCAAAUCUCACAAUUCAAGCUACAAGAGCACAGACACUUCUCUUGCAAGCAAUAUAUCAAAGUUGGUCUCAUCUUGGAAAUGUCAGCUCUUCCGCAGUGAUUGAAGCUUUGAUAAAUGAAAUCUUCCUAAGUAUAGGUGUGAAAUCUAAGAAUCCCCUGCCAACUCUUGAGGGCUCAAUCCAGAAUGUUGAAUUGAAGUACUGCAGCACAUCAUUGGUCAAAUGUGCCUCUGGGACCAUGGGAUCAAUAAAAAUUUGUGCCAAAGCCCCAGUUGAUAGUGGAAAAGAGAAGUUGAUUCCCUUGCUUCAGGGUCCUUCUGACACUAAAGACCUUCAUAGCACCAAGUGGCUCAAUGAGAGUAGAAAGCCAGAGUCUCUCUUAGCUCCAGAUUUGAUGGCCUUCACAAUCCAAGUUCCACAAUAUAUUGACUACUGCCACAAUUCCGGAAGAAAGAAGGUGACCAGGCCAAAAUGUAUCACCUCUGCAGGGUGAUAAAUAGCCACUGAAUGGAGAGGAAAGAGUGAAGGAG